rnacentral:rRNA from 1 species
CAACGUGGGUAACCUGCCUCAUAGAGUGGAAUAGCCUUCCGAAAGGAAGAUUAAUACCGCAUAACGUUGAAAGAUGGCAUCAUCAUUCAACCAAAGGAGCAAUCCGCUAUGAGAUGGACCCGCGGCGCAUUAGCUAGUUGGUGGGGUAACGGCCUACCAAGGCGACGAUGCGUAGCCGACCUGAGAGGGUGAUCGGCCACAUUGGGACUGAGACACGGCCCAG